rnacentral:rRNA from 1 species
CCUCUUUUGUNAGGGAAGAACACAAUGACGGUACCUGACGAAUCACCAUCNGCUAACUCGGUGCCAGCNGCCGCGGUAAUACGGGGGAUGCAAGCGUUAUCCGGAAUUAUUGGGCGUAAAGCGUCCGCAGGUGGUUUANCAAGUCUGCUGUUAAAGGAUGGGGCUUAACUCCAUAUCGGCNGUGGAAACUGNGCNACUANAGUACGGUAGGGGUNGCGGGAAUUCCCGNUGUAGCGGUGAAAUGCGUAGAUCUUGGGAANAACACCGGCGGCGAAGGCGCNCUGCUGGGCCUGUACUGACACUGANGGACNAAAGCUAGGGGA